rnacentral:lncRNA from 1 species
AUUAUCAUGUUGCUCUUAUAUUUUGAAGAACGCCUCUUACAACUUGUCAGGCAUUACGGCUUUGUUUGAAUACUAUCAAUAGCAAACGGACUCCGCUGCUACCUAUUUAUUUUCGAUGAUAAAGGCUCAAAAUCGACAAUCGAUAUCGUUGAUCAUGAUCUAAACGAUUUGAAAUAUCUAGAAAUUAAAUUUCUAUAUUUUUUUCCAUAUUAUUUUCUUGUGCAUCAAGUAGGCACAAAAAUGAAGAAUUGAAAAUAAUUAUCAUUCAACAAAUAAUGAAUAAGAUUAAGAGUAUAGAUUUUAUUUUAAAAGUUUAAAAAAUUAUCUAGAAAAAUUUAACUGAUUUGAUAUCUUUUACGCCGUUAAACGAGCAAAUGCUUUGUAUCAAUCAUUAAAAUUAUAAAUUUUGCGACCGUUUAAUCAUUAGGUCAGUGAUGUCAAAAAAAAUAUAAAAUUUGAUUAUUAAAUAUUUCAAAUGGUCUAAAUUAUGUUUAAUGAUGCUGAUCAUCAAUUUCGAGACUUCAUCAUCGAAAGCAAAUCGAUGGCAACGGAGCAUAUUUGCUGCCAAUAGUAUUCUAACCCAUUUGAUCUUGAGUCCUUUCAAUUAAUAGGUAAUUUAUAUAAAAAAUAAUAAAAUUUAUUUUUUAGGUAUUUCAAAUAUAUUAGAUCAAGUCUAACGAGUCAAUCAUCGAUUCAAAAGUUUCAUCAUCGAAAACGACUUAAAAGUAUGGAGGCCUCCAGUAUGGAGGCCUCCGUGCUUAUAAUAGCACACUAGUUCUACUCUCCCUAUAUUUAGCAUGACAACUAUAUUCUUAUGAGUAAAGAGGCUUUCAUGCUCAUAAAUCGUUUUUAAUAAUAAAAGUUCUGAAUCGAUAAUCUACACCAUUAUAUAUAGUACGGCUAGCUACUGUACUCUUAUGAGUUUAGAGGCUUUCGUAUUCAUAAAUUAUUUUUUAUAAUAGAACUUCUGAAUCGACAAUCCAUACCGUUUAAAUACAAUUUAUAGUAUGGAAACAUACUAGAAACCAAAUUUUAUAAUUUUUUGAUAUCAUAUAACUUACAAUAAAAAUAUCUUAAAAUUGACAAUUUUAACGAUCGAUAUGGGGCGCUUUUUAGCUUAAUAGUAUACAAGAAUCAAAAUCAGCUGAAUUUUUUUUUAUAGAAAAUUAUAUUCAUUAUUAAGACCAAGAUCAUUAAUUCUGAUUUUAAAUUAAAUUGUGUAAUUUGAUUGCAACAAUUCAGAAAGUUCGAGUUAGAUAUUGCAAAUAUAGUCGAAUUUUUAAAGAAUAAAAUGAAAAAUUCUUAUUUAUACAUAAUAUCAUUGACUUUAAAUGAAUUUUAAUGACAUUUACCUUCUAAAUA